CCUACGGGAGGCAGCAGUGAGGAAUAUUGGUCAAUGGGCGCGAGCCUGAACCAGCCAAGUAGCGUGAAGGAUGACUGCUCUACGGGUUGUAAACUUCUUUUAUACAGGAAUAAAUUGAGGCACGUGUCCCUUUUUGUAUGUACCUUAUGAAUAAGGAUCGGCUAACUCCGUGCCAGCAGCCGCGGUAAUACGGAGGAUCCGAGCGUUAUCCGGAUUUAUUGGGUUUAAAGGGAGCGUAGUUGGGUUGUUAAGUUAGUGGUGAAAGUCUGGGGCUCAACCCGAAUAUUGCAACUGAUACUGGCGGGCUAGAGUAUAGUUGAGGUAGGCGGAAUGCGUGGUGUAGCGGUGAAAUGCAUAGAUAUCACAAAGAACUCCGAUUGCGAAGGCAGCCUACUAAACUGCGACUGACGUUGAGGCACGAAAGUGUGGGUAGCAAACAGGAUUAGAUACCCCUGUAGUC
rnacentral:rRNA from 1 species